UUUACUCCAAAAAAUGAAAAGGCUAACUGAAGAUCAACUACCCAGUAGUUUUGCAUUAAUAUCUGCUUUAAAGUAUUGAUUUUGGUGGCUGUGUCAGAGUUGGAUG